rnacentral:rRNA from 1 species
AUGGAGGACGUGCAGUGCGACACCGACGAUGAUGAACAUGUUGAAAUUCGUGAAGGCAGCAAGAAGGGCAAGGCUGCAGCAAAUGCCCCCUCACCGGAGAAAGUCAAAGAACAUACAGCUGCGAGAGGAAAGGGGGUGUCGCCAUCCAAGAGGGGGAGGGCCCCAGAGCAUGUUGGGCAGGGCUCUGCUGGCAAGAGGUCUAGGACCGAUCCUAUAGCUGCUAGGAGGAGUGAGGCGUCAGCUAGUGGACGAGCAGUUAUGAAGAAACAAGCACGAAUGCCAACCCGUGCUUCUGCUCGAUUGAAAAAGGGUGCCCCCAUUGCUGGUGACACCCAUUGCACCAGGUCAUCUCCUCGUACGACGACGUCUAACAUCGGGGAUCUUGUCGUGUUGCCAGACUUGAGGAAGCCAAUCAAGAAGGUGAAGAAGACUACUACACGUGCGACCACUCAUAUCACCAGGGACCCACUCGAACGCCUUCAUUCAAAGCUGUCGACAGGUGGCAACUCAGAUGUUCAUGAGGCGCCAGUCAACAAAACUGCUGAUGCACCGUCAACUGUUCCCACUAGCUCUGACGCAAGCGGACGACCAUCUCCGCCAGUUGCAGAUGUGCAGGCUACAACAACAGGCAUCUGUACAUCUGGGAGUGACGACUCCGUAUCAUCUAGGACUGCUGAAAUAUUGCCCACCCUGCUGGCAAUGAAAGAUGAUGUUGUGAGCCAUGCCACCCGAUCAGCAAGUGUUGAAGUGGACACCCCCGAGACCAACCUAAGCAAGGAAGAUUCCCGCUCAUCUGACACGGAUUCCAAGCGCGUGUGCGGUGGCACUCCUGUGUCCACGACAGAAGUUGCUGAGGCGAUAGUUCACAAUGAUAUGCCAUCCACAUGUGAGAGUCUUGGCACAACAGCUCCAGUUCCUGUUGGUGCAGAGGUUGCUAAGGCAACCGUUUCACGAGCUGGUCUUCCGCCUAGGCGUCGUAGCCCCCGCAAGCAAUCAACAGACAUACCCAACGCACCGGCUGUACCUAGGAGCAGCGUAGAUGACUCUGGUUAUGUUCCUGCGUCCACACUAUUCCCACCACCUGCCACAAGCAAUGUUACGGAGAAACCGGUAGACCGGAGUACAACUGAGCCAGGUGUCAAGCCGGGCAUGACUGAUGGAGGUGAACGUCCGGAAGCCGGGCAUGACUGA